UACGUAGGGGGCAAGCGUUGUCCGGAAUUAUUGGGCGUAAAGCGCGCGCAGGCGGUUUUUUAAGUCUGAUGUAUAAGUUCAAGGCUCAACCUUGGGAUGCAUUGGAAACUGGGAGACUGGAGUGUAGGAGAGGAAAGUGGAAUUCCACGUGUAGCGGUGAAAUGCGCAGAUAUCAGGAAGAACACCUAUGGCGAAGGCAGCACUCUGGGACGGUACUGACGCUGAGACGCGAAAGCGUGGGGAGCGAACAGG
rnacentral:rRNA from 1 species